rnacentral:lncRNA from 7 species
GACAGCAGUACGCAUGCGCGACAUCACAGACAGCAGUAGGCAUGCCCUAGACGCGAGCCGAUGGCACCAGAGACCGCCGCAACCUUUCCGACGCAGUUUUCCUGUUUGGACAUUAGGUGGCAGCAGAUACCGUGGAAACAACUCCUCCGCCGCCUUUUAGCGGACUGCCUGGGACCGUGGGCGCGCGCAUCCCCUUCUCUCUUUCUUUUCUUGGCAGAGGAUGGUGGGGGGAAGAAGGGGAGACGACAAAGAAAAGCAAGGAAAACUUCGACAAACCCCCCAACCCCGUGCUAAAUGCUUUGGUAUACCUGUAAAUAAAUGAAUACAUAACC